rnacentral:rRNA from 2 species
UGACCUCUGACCUCAAAUCAGGUAGGACUACCCGCUGA